CCCAGACUCCUACGGGAGGCAGCAGUGGGGGAUAUUGCACAAUGGGGGAAACCCUGAUGCAGCGACGCCGCGUGGGCGAAGAAGUAUUUCGGUAUGUAAAGCCCUAUCAGCAGGGAAGAAGAAAUGACGGUACCUGAGUAAGAAGCACCGGCUAAAUACGUGCCAGCAGCCGCGGUAAUACGUAUGGUGCAAGCGUUAUCCGGAUUUACUGGGUGUAAAGGGAGCGCAGGCGGCACGGCAAGCCUGGAGUGAAAGCCCGGGGCCCAACCCCGGGACUGCUCUUGGAACUGCGUGGCUGGAGUGCAGGAGGGGCAGGCGGAAUUCCUGGUGUAGCGGUGAAAUGCGUAGAUAUCAGGAGGAACACCGGUGGCGAAGGCGGCCUGCUGGACUGCAACUGACGUUGAGGCCCGAAAGCGUGGGGAGCAAACAGGAUUAGAUACCCGAGUAGCA
rnacentral:rRNA from 1 species